rnacentral:lncRNA from 1 species
UGGAGGGCGACGACCCACCUACUUGGAUGCCUAGGAUCUAAGUGGAUGAUGUCCCUACUGUCCUAGAUGCCUGGGAUUUAAGUAGAUGAUUUCCCUACUGUCCCGGAGGUUGUUCGUCCCCAAGUGCGGUGGAGAGCGACGACCCACCUACUUGGAUGCCUGGGAUCUAAGUGGAUGAUGUCCCUACUGUCCCAGAGGUUUAUGUUCCCCAAGUGUGGUGGAGGGCGACGACCCACCUACUUGGAUGCCUGGAAUCUAAGUGGAUGAUUUCUCUAUUGUUCCAGAGGUUGUUUUUCCCUAAGUGUGGUGGAGGGCAACGGCCCACCUACUUGGAUGCCUAGGAUCUAAGUGGAUGAUGUCCCUACUGUCCUAGAUGCCUGGGAUUUAAGUAGAUGAUUUCCCUACUGUCCCGGAGGUUGUUCGUCCCCAAGUGCGGUGGAGGGCGACGACCCACCUACUUGGAUGCCUAGGAUUUAAGUGGAUGAUGUCCCUACUGUCCUAGAUGCCUGGGAUUUAAGUAGAUGAUUUCCCUACUGUCCCGGAGGUUGAUCGUCCCCAAGUGCGGUGGAGGGCGACGACCCACCUACUUGGAUGCCUAGGAUUUAAGUGGAUGAUGUCCCUACUGUCCUAGAUGCCUGGGAUUUAAGUAGAUGAUUUCCCUACUGUCCCGGAGGUUGAUCGUCCCCAAGUGCGGUGGAGGGCGACGACCCACCUACUUGGAUGCCUAGGAUUUAAGUGGAUGAUGUCCCUACUGUCCUAGAUGCCUGGGAUUUAAGUAGAUGAUUUCCCUACUGUCCCGGAGGUUGAUCGUCCCCAAGUGUGGUGGAGGGCGACGACCCACCUACUUGGAUGCCUAGGAUUUAAGUGGAUGAUGUCCCUACUGUCCUAGAUGCCUGGGAUUUAAGUAGAUGAUUUCCCUACUGUCCCGGAGGUUGAUCGUCCCCAAGUGCGGUGGAGGGCGACGACCCAUCUACUUGGAUGCCUAGGAUUUAAGUGGAUGUUGUCCCUACUGUCCUAGAUGCCUGGGAUUUAAGUAGAUGAUUUCCCUACU